AGUGAACGCUGGCGGUAGGCCUAACACAUGCGAGUCGAACGGCAGCACAGUAAGAGCUUGCUCUUACGGGUGGCGAGUGGCGGACGGGUGAGGAAUACAUCGGAAUCUACUUUUUCGUGGGGGAUGACGUAGGGAAACUUACGCUAAUACCGCAUACGACCUACGGGUGAAAGCAGGGGAUCUUCGGACCUUGCGCGAUUGAAUGGGCCGAUGUCGGAUUAGCUAGUUGGCGGGGUAAAGGCCCACCAAGGCGACGAUCCGUAGCUGGUCUGAGAGGAUGAUCAGCCACACUGGAACUGAGACACGGUCCAGACUCCUACGGGAGGCAGCAGUGGGGAAUAUUGGACAAUGGGCGCAAGCCUGAUCCAGCCAUACCGCGUGGGUGAAGAAGGCCUUCGGGUUGUAAAGCCCUUUUGUUGGGAAAGAAAGGCAGCAGGUUAAUACCCCGCUGUUCUGACGGUACCCAAAGAAUAAGCACCGGCUAACUUCGUG
rnacentral:rRNA from 1 species